rnacentral:rRNA from 1 species
AGCGAACGCUGGCGGCAGGCUUAACACAUGCAAGUCGAACGCAUCCUUCGGGGUGAGUGGCAGACGGGUGAGUAACGCGUGGGAACAUGCCCUUUGGUUCGGAAUAACUCAGGGAAACUUGAGCUAAUACCGGAUAAGCCCUUUUGGGGAAAGAUUUAUCGCCGAAGGAUUGGCCCGCGUCCGAUUAGCUAGUUGGUGAGGUAAUGGCUCACCAAGGCGACGAUCGGUAGCUGGCCUGAGAGGAUGAUCAGCCACACUGGGACUGAGACACGGCCCAGACUCCUACGGGAGGCAGCAGUGGGGAAUAUUGGACAAUGGGGGCAACCCUGAUCCAGCCAUGCCGCGUGAGUGAUGAAGGCCCUAGGGUUGUAAAGCUCUUUCGGCGGGGACGAUAAUGACGGUACCCGCAGAAGAAGCCCCGGCUAACUUCGUGCCAGCCGCCGCCGUAA